CCGGAUUAGGACCUGCGCCGUUUCCUGUGUGAGGCAGGGUCGUACUCUGCGAAUGUUGUAGAGCAUGAACCUACAGGAUCGGGACUGAUUUAGACCUGGGAUACCAGGUGUGCGCAAUCAAUUAUCAGGUAGAGCAGAAAACCAGCAGGCCCCGGACCUCGUAGGGUAAGAGUUAAGUACCCCUGCUCUAUAACAUGCCACCGAUCACUACAAGAUUCAGUGCCUAUGAGAAUAGACGACAUAACCACAUGGGCAGUCAGUCCGAUGAAAUUUGCGGUUCAUGACCAAUUAUCUAUACAGUGGUCAUGACCAAUGGAGAACAGUUUUUAGUUUUGCCUACGUCAGGAUCUGGCCAUUUGUGAUGAGCCUAUAAGGUACAUCAAUAACAAGGUAUUAUAUUUUUUAAAAGAGCUCUGUCAGUUGACCAAUAGCAUAUGACAUGUCCUUUGAAACUCGCUGAUGCACAACCAAGGGUAAAGACCAAGGCCCUGUUUCCCAAAAUCAUAUUUUGUUCAUCGUUAGAACCAUAUGAUCCGAUGGCUCUUACGAUGAA